rnacentral:rRNA from 1 species
GUAAGGAAUAUUGCCCAAUGGGCGAAAGCCUGAGGCAGCAACGCCGCGUGAGCGAUGAAGGCCUUCGGGUCGUAAAGCUCUUUUCCUGGGGACGAGAGAGGACGGUACCCGGGGAAUCAGUCACGGCUAACUACGUGCCAGCAGCCGCGGUAAAACGUAGGUGGCAAGCGUUAUCCGGAUUCACUGGGCGUAAAGCGCACGCAGGCGGCCGAGUAGGUAGGGCAUGAAAUCUCCUGGCUUAACUGGGAGGGGUUGUCCUAUACCGCUUGGCUGGAGGAUGGGAGAGGGGAGUGGAAUUGCCGGUGUAGUGGUGAAAUGCGUAGAGAUCGGCAGGAACACCAGUGGCGCAGGCGGCUUCCUGGCCCAUUCCUGACGCUCAGGUGCGAAAGCUAGGGGAGCGAACGGGAUUAGAAACCCUGGUAGUCC